UACGGAGGAUUCGAGCGUUAUCCGGAUUUAUUGGGCGUAAAGGGUGCGUAGGCGGAUUGGUAAGUCAGAUGUGAAAGUUUACGGCUCAACCGUGAAAUUGCAUUUGAAACUGUUAAACUUGAGUACAGAUGAGGUAAGUGGAAUUUCUUGUGUAGCGGUGAAAUGCGUAGAUAUCACAAAGAACUCCAAUGGCGAAGGCGGCUCACUGGGCUGUAACUGACGCUGAUGCACGAAGGCGUGGGGAUCAAACAGG
rnacentral:rRNA from 1 species